rnacentral:rRNA from 1 species
AUGCGCAAGACCGCUGCAAAGGCCAAGCCGGUUUCAUCAGGCAGCCCAUGGUACGGUGCCGACCGUGUGCUCUACCUCGGCCCGCUUUCCGGAGAGCCCCCGAGCUACUUGACCGGCGAGUUCCCCGGCGACUACGGAUGGGACACCGCCGGGCUCUCGGCCGACCCCGAGACCUUUGCCAAGAACCGGGAGCUCGAGGUGAUCCACUGCCGGUGGGCCAUGCUCGGUGCGCUUGGAUGCGUCUUCCCCGAGCUUCUUGCACGCAACGGCGUCAAGUUC